AUGACUUACUGGGGAACCAGGUUAAAAACUAAAGAAGUGAAGAUUGGUCAUCUCUGCAGAGGAAAUUACAAGGUCUUUCUCAGGAGAAACAGCUGUAGAAUGUGGAAUCAGUUGUGUGGAAUUCCUGUUGGCAAGACCUUAGACCCUCGACUUCUGCUAGACCCAGCUGAGGGAUCAAAGAGAGAACUUUUGCAGGUUUCACCUCCCCUGGACUCUGGACUUGCCCCAGUUUCUGGGUUUUGUGAUCUGGGGGUCCUCAUCUCUGCCAUGGAGAGCUCAGGGAGACACUGGGGGCAAGCACAACAGCUCAGCUGGGAAGCCAGGACAUGGGAAGAUUAUGCCAGGAAAACAGGAGAUCCCCACAGCAGUGAUGCUGAAAGCCAGGGCAGAUGGUUUCUGUCCCCCUGCAGUGUGACCAAGUGACCUCAGGGUGAGACAUGCUGAGUGAAACAGCUCUCCUUGAUCCAUGUGGGGCUGAUGGAUGCAGCAUUUAUUGUGCUCUUCAAUUAACUAGCAAAAGGUUACUUCACUGAUUAAGGUAGGCUGUUUGUUUUAAAAGUGUGCUUACAUAUUCAAGUAGUGUUUGUAUUAGAAUACAGACUGAUAUCUGUUAUUCCAACUUCUUUAAAUCCACCCUGAAUAGGAAGUGUUGUUGUCUAUCAAACCAGGUGGCAGGAAAUAACAACCCCCUCAAACUUGAGCAGAAGUUUGAAGCUACAGAAGCUGAUGUUGUAGUGGUAGUUCUGCUAAUCCCCCUAGCCAAGGCCUGUGUGGUACAGUGGAGUGUGUUUAAUUUGCUCAUCAAUUCAGAGCUGGGUUCCUGCUCAGUUAGGAGUAUUGCUGACUAAGCCACAAUUCCUCACAGUCUUAAAUUCAUUGCUCAGUCUUUGGGGUUUACCUAUGCAGAACUUGGGAAAUUCACUUUAGAGAACCUCAGUUCUUCCCCAUUAGGAUAAUGGAGAAGGAUCUGGAAGCAUGUUAAACAAUCCCUUUAUUCAGCAUCCAUUCUGAGUCAUAGUGAUGCCUUUCCCAAAGUGACAAACUGUUUGAUAAGGUACAGUCAUGUAGGAGCAGGCAGUACACAAGUGCAGUUAUUAAAAAUGAAUGCUGUAUCCUGUUUCCCUUGUGUAUCUUGUCACUGACAUGACUUCACAAGUUGCAAAUCUAUUAAACAUUUCAAACAUGGAACUGGAGCUCAUUAAGCAGAAUGUUGACUGGUAUAUAGCAAACCGUUUCACAUUCAAGACUGUUAACAUUUGUCUCCAGAGUUUUUUGUCUUCUAGGUUGUCACUAAGCAAUCCAGCUGUCUGGGAAUGCAGCCUGUGCUUCCUGUGAUCAGAAUGAGACUGUCCUUUGGGGUGAGGUAGUAGGUUGUAUAGUUUUAGGGCUAUGCCCUGCCUGUCAGAUAACUAUACAAUCUACU
rnacentral:lncRNA from 1 species